AUGAAAUAGACACUUGGAAAUCACUUUAGAAUGCAGAAUCAACUUUUAAAUGCAAAGGGAAGAUUCAUGCAACACUUAGGGCCGAAUUCAAUGUUUUGGACCCUUUUUUAACAAACAACACUUUAGAGCUCUUUUUCAUACUCUUUUCAAUUCUUUUUUUUUUCUUUUCACUCUUUUUUUUUUCUUUUCUACCCGUGCCUUAUUAAGGACUUUGGCACACACACACACACAAGAAUCACUUCCCCCACACUUGCUUUCUGCAAUACAUUGAUAAAAAAAAAAAGUUCAUUUUAAGUCAUGUUUUACUAUGCUUCAAGAACAAGGGUAUGGAUGGUCCUAAAACUAGGCUAGGUAAGGAUAGUGUGGGUUAACAAAGAACAUAGGCUUAACAAGGCUCAACGGGGUUAAACUUAAACACAUAAUGAAAUAGGGGCACAACAAUUUGGCUUUGGUGGUCACUACACAACUUCAUCUUGAAUAUGUGUUAUGCAAAUCAAUAGCAUGCUUU
rnacentral:lncRNA from 1 species